rnacentral:rRNA from 1 species
AUGCACGCUGGCGGCGUGCCUAAUCCCUGCAAGUCGCGCGCACAGACGAGGAGCUUGCUCCUCUGACGUUAGCGGCGGACGGGUGAGUAACACGUGGAUAACCUACCUAUAAGACUGGGAUAACUUCGGGAAACCGGAGCUAAUACCGGAUAAUAUAUUGAACCGCAUGGUUCAAUAGUGAAAGACGGUUUUGCUGUCACUUAUAGAUGGAUCCGCGCCGCAUUAGCUAGUUGGUAAGGUAACGGCUUACCAAGGCGACGAUGCGUAGCCGACCUGAGAGGGUGAUCGGCCACACUGGAACUGAGACACGGUCCAGACUCCUACGGGAGGCAGCAGUAGGGAAUCUUCCGCAAUGGGCGAAAGCCUGACGGAGCAACGCCGCGUGAGUGAUGAAGGUCUUCGGAUCGUAAAACUCUGUUAUUAGGGAAGAACAAAUGUGUAAGUAACUAUGCACGUCUUGACGGUACCUAAUCAGAAAGCCACGGCUAACUACGU